CGUGCCCCACCCCCAGUACUGCAGCCGUACCCGGGUGGGGGCAGGGCGCAGCGAGGACGAGCCUAGUCUUUCUGGUCGCCAGGUUUUGGGGGUCUCGCACGUGGGCUCUGGUCUUGCCCCGGAGGAGCCUCUCGCUGCCCCUCCUCCUUCCUUUCCUUCCUCUCCCCGUCAUUAAAAAUGAACACACCAUCCCUGCUAAUUAUCCAAUGCUGUAUCUUUAUGGAAACACGCUUUGGAGGUCACCAGAUGUAAUUGAAGCCAGAAUUAGGCAGGCAGGCGGUAGAGACAGGUAAACUGAGUCUGGUCGAUCAAGGAGGCUAAUUUUGAGAUCUUACCUGUAAAGUGCCUCCCUUGAGUCCUGGGAUGGACCCCAGGGCCUCCCUCCACCCCUGAGUCACCCCAGCCUCAAACUGCCCUGUUUUAGGCAUCGGCUUCCAAGAGAGGAAACCUUGUGACCCUGCGUGGGUUGGGAUGGCAACUGAAUAAUGACAAAGAAAGCUUAAGAGUGGAAUAUUACUGAGAUGCAGCUGGUUUCCCUUUGGACACGGUCUUGAUGCUUGCUCUGGAAUUGGAAAAUUUUAAAUAGAAUUUUAUCUCUGGAAGGAAGAAAACUGAGUCAGGUCACCACGAUUUACAGAUAGGGAUUUGGAAGCCUGGGGAGUUGAUGAUUUGCUUAAAAUUAGACACAAUUAGCUAGCAGAAGCUG